AACGCCGGAUCGUUAACCCAUUGAGCAAGGGCAGGGACCGAACCCGCAAGCUCAUGGUUCCUAGUCAGAUUUGUUAACCACUGCACCACGAUGGGAACUCCUCAUCUUUGAUUUCUUUCAUCAGUGGCGUAUAGUUUUCAGAGUAAAGGUCUUUUGUCUCUAGUUAGGUUUACUCCUAGGUAUUUUAUUCUUUUGGAUGCAAUGGUAAACGGGAUUGCUUCCCUAAUUUCUCUUUCUGAUCUUUCAUUGUUAGUGUAUAGAAAUGCUGUAGAUUUCUGUGUAUUGACUUUGUAUCCUGCGACUGCCAAUGGAUGAGCUCUAAUAGUUUUCUGGUAGAGUCUUUAGGAUUUUCUAGGUAUAGUAUCAUGUAAUCUGCAAAUAGAGAUAGUUUUACUUCUUCCUUUCCAGUUUGUAUUCCUUUUAUUUCUUUUACUCAGUGUGAUAAGCCAUACUUUAAUUUAAAAAAUAGAUAAUAUUAAAAAAAGAAUACCAACUCACUACCUCCUCUCACAAAGGUCUCAGGAAUUCUGAGGUAAUAGAUUUUCCUCUACUGAAAACCUCUGGCACCGGAGGAAGGAUCUCAGGGUCCCCAAUGCUCUCUAUUUGGAUAAGAAACUUGUGAAUACUUCCCAUAUUAGAGAAAAAGUCAUGGGGAGAAAUGCAGUUUUUAAGCACUGUGCUUCAUUUCAAUGAGUGCAACCAAGAUACACAAAUCAAUUAACACAGGUACAGUGGGACAAAAGUGGAAACCCCAUCCCCAUCGCCACUCCAUCUGGGUGCCAACUUUCUAGCGCACUUCCACACCUGCUACUUCAUUUGAUCUUCCCAACAUCCAGAAAAGAAGGGCUGAGAAGUUCCAAACAAAUCAAAAGGAACCAGUUCCUUAUGGUGGGACAAAAUGAUAGGAAAGAGAAUUUUCUAAAGAAAAUUACACUAAAUUUUGUUCAUAUCUGUUGGUCAUGUUAUAACAUCCAGAGAUUCAUUAAAAAAAAACACCUAGAUUUUCUUAUAAGUAUUUCCAGGGUAGAAAACCAACAUUCACUGAUUUUCAAAUUAUUUCUAAGCGAAGUUCUUGUUCCUUGACAAAGAGCCCAUUUGAAUUUCUCAGCUAACCUAGGAGGUCAAUAUUAGGGGAACUGAAGGUCAGAGAUGUUAGGUGGUUUUCCCAAAGUUACACCCCUUCUGUCCUUCACAAGAUGCUGCUCCAGAGUUCACAGAGCUUCUCAGACUUGAGCCAUUUCCUCCUAUCUUUAUAUCACCAUUAUUUGCUUAGUGUUUUUCUUUCAAAUGGUUGGCUUCAAGGAUUAAGUACAUGUAUUUAAAAAGGGAACUUUGGGAGUUCCCAUUGUGGCUCAGCAGGUAAAGAAUCUCACAUAGUUUCUGUGAGGAUGCAGAUUCAAUCCCUGGCCUCGAUAAGUGGGUCAAGUAUCUGGUGUUGCCAUGGCUGUGGCAUAGGUCCCACUUUUAGCUCUGAUUUGACCCCUAGUUUGGGAACUUCCAUAUGCUGCAGGUGUGGCCAUUUAAAAAAGGGGGGGGGAACUUUGCAUGUUGCUGAUAAUCAAUAAAUAGUACCACUUUCCAUAGAGUAAGGAUAACUGUAAAAAUGAAUAAAUGAAAACAGGACAAUUUCGGCACAUUUUAGCCCACUGUGACAAUCAAUAACUAUUCUGAGCCUGAGGCUGAAUCUCCUCAUUGGGUAGGGGGCAAGUGCUGAGAUGUAUGAAGGCCAUAAUUACUGCCUUAAUUUGCUAGGGAUGCUGCAACAAAGUAUAAGCCUGGGGUUUAAACAACAGAGGCUGGAAGUGCAAGAUCAAGGUUCUGGCAGAUUGAUGCUUUCUGAGGCCUAUCUUGGCUUAUGCAUGGUCCUCUCCUUGUGUCUUUAUCUUGACAUAGUCUUCUCUCUGUACCUGUGUGUGUCCAAAAAAAGGACACUAGCCAUGUUGGAUUACGGUCCAUUCUAAUGACCUCAUUUUAACUUUGUCACUUCUUUAAAGACCCUAUUUCCAAUUUGGUCACAUUCUGAGCGUACUGUGGGUUAGGACUUAAAAUUACAAAUUUUGGCGACACACAAAAUUCAGCCAUAACAAUCAGUACCAAAAUGAGACAUUCUCCUUGGGAUAAUUAAAAAAAAAAAUGGAAACCAAAGGGAAAAGGACAGAACUCCCUCACCAUGUGAUGCAAAAUUAUUUAAGGCCAUGGACAAAACCAUCUAAAGUUGUCUCCUGAACCACUGGUGAUACUUAAUCCAUGCUUCAGAAAACAUGUAACAGUGGGCUCUGUGAUAGGAUCUUUGUCACCCGACAUCAGCAAAUCCUCUUGACCCAGGGUGGACAUCACCUGGAAUUUUUCUAAGUUCCUUUGCCUGCAGCUGGCUUAUGAAUCAGCCUGGGGUCCCAUUAGGGUUUGCUUGGCAAGCUUUCAGGGUGGACAGGCCAGGGCACAAGGAGUUAAGUUUCCCAAGAACAGUCCUUAAAUGAGGAGCUGAUAAAUACAUAUUCCUCUUUCCUUAUGCUUUGUAGAACCAGUUUCAAGGGUUUUUUGGCACAGUCACUCAAAAAAUCUCCAGUAAAAUGGAGUGCCACUUGCCCACAACAACCACCUGCUUAUUAACACACUUUGAUGACCUUCCCUCCUUCUCUGUCUCAUCCGCAACUCCUCCCUCGGAUGUUCCCAGUAAAUCACUGUCACUUAAAUCUUUUUCUUAGGGUCUAUGUUUAGGGGAUGAAAUCAAAGAGUGUAUCUAUGAUUUCCAUCUAAAGAUGAAUAAAUAAAUGAGACAAAGCAAAACGAUCUACUUAUUACUUCCAGAUCAUCAAGCCCAGUCCUGUUCUUCCUCCCAAAACAAUGAGGUGAAUGUGAAUAUAGAAGAUGGCACAGAAAUAGAAUGACCUCUUAGACACUUGCAAUGAUCAAGAAUUUUGAGAGUCCUAAUUCAAGGCUUGAUCAUCCUCUUUGAUGAUUAAAUCUCCCUCCUCACACUGGAAAAUUAAAAUUUGAAGUUUAACUUGGCUUUGGUAACCACAUCAGUUAUGCUGAGUAUUUCUUUUCUUUCUGGCCUUUAGACAAUUUAGGGACACAAUUUGUUGACAUGUUUCUUCUGCAGAACAGACUCGUUGGGAAAGGAUUUUCUGAUGAUAAAUUGAAAAGAAACCCUCCUGGCUGGAAAGGAAGAAUCAUCUAAUUUUUCAUUUUGCUUAAAACUGAGGAGGUUUGCUGAUGACAUGUAGUCGGAACUUUAGAGAAGCCUGGAACUUUAGAGAAUCCUAAGAACAGAAUUCCAUGGAUACCUUGAGAACCUCAGCAGAAACUGUGUACCAAAUGUACCUAGAUCCACAAAUAAAGCAACAAACCAGGUGGACUCGCUGAGGCUUAUGAUUCUCAUUAAGUUUAAAAAAAAACUUGGAAAUCCUAAAAAAUUGGAUUGUGAUAAUCAUUGUACAACUAUAAAUGUAAUACAUUCACUGAGUAAUAAAAAAACCCUUUGUCAAGAGAAAAGGAUAGAGAAUGAUAUAUCCAGUGCCCAUUUACAGCAAAAUGUUAUAAAAAAACAAUUUGGAAUAGCCCUCUUUUUCCUUUUGAAGAGAUGACACAUCACAGAUAGGCUUGAGACUCCUUAGUACUUCUACUCCUAUUCCCCUCCUUCCCCAGAUGGACUUUGUUUUUAUCCUUCCCAAGUCUAUUUUAGUAUUUUUACUACACACAUAAUAUCAUAAACUGCAGUAUUGUUUCCAUAAGUGGAUCAUUCUGUUUGCAUCAUUUUACAACAUGUUUUUUUCUUACUCAAUAUCAUAUUUUAGAAAAUUUUCCAUGUUUAUGUGUCUAAACCACUCAUUUUAGCUGCCAUGAGACAUUCCAUUGUAUGAAUAAACCACAAUUUGUUUUUCUAUUUUCCAGCUGAUAAACAUUUAGGUUGUUUCUAAUAUUUUCAUAGAGCAAACAAUGCAAUGCCUCUAAAAAUAUUCCUGGAUAUGGUUCUUUGUAUAUAUAUGCCUAGAAGUAGAAAUGCUGCUUAUACAGUGUGUGGCUUCAACUUUAUUACAUGCUGUCAAAUAGCUCUGUAGAGGCCAGUUUACAAGCUCACCAGCAUGUUUUAAAUUUUUAUCUCCUCCACAUUCUCCCCCAUAUUUGAUAUUAACAGAUUGAACUUUUUUUAAUAAACCAAUUUGAGGUCUGAGUUGUAUUUCAUUCUGGUUUUAAUUUGCAUUUUCCUAAUUACUACUGAUGGGAAGGGGUUAUUUAUAUAUUUUUGAUGCUAAUCCUUUGUGGGUUUGUUUGCAUUGAAAAUAUUUUCUCCCAGUGGGUAAGUUUCUUUGCCUCUUGUUUUUGAUGUCCUUGGAUGAAGAGAAGUUCUAAAUUUUAAUACAGUCAAUUUCAGCCAUCUUUUCCUUCUCAGUUAAUGCUUUUUGUGUAUUGUUUAGGAAAACUUUCCUUACCCUGAAGUCAUUCAGACACCCUCCUACAUUUAAUCUGAAGGUUUUAUAGUUUCAUCUAUAUAAUUAGUUCUAAAUCUACCUGGAGUUGGAAGGAAGGAGAACUCUGAUUUAAUUUUUCUACCUGGAAUUGGAAGAGAACUCUGAUUUAAUUUUUCCUUUAUGGAUACCCAAAUAUCCCACUACCAUUUAUUGAAAACACUUCAUUUCCCCACUGCUCUGCAUCGCUAACUUUGUCAUAAAUCAAGUAGGCACACGUACAUGGGGAUAACUCUUGAUUGUAUCUUCUAGAAUUCUUUUAUUUUUCUUUUUAUCUUUUUUGUCUUUUGUCUUUUUAGGGCCGCACCCACAGCAUAUGGAGAUUCCCAGGCUAGGAGUCGAAUCAGAGCUACAGCUGCCAGCCUACGCCAGAGCCACAGCAAUGCCAGAUCUGAGCUGCAUCUGCAACCCACACCACAGCUCAUGGCAAUGCUGGAUCCUUAACCCACUGAGCGAGGCCAGGGAUUGAACCUGCAACCUCAUGGUUCCUAGUCAGAUUCGUUUUCACUGUGCCAUGAUGGGAACGCCAUAUCUUCUAGAAUUCUUGAUUCUAUAUCUUCUACUCUGUUUUGUUGGUCUAUCCUACUAUCUGUAGACAAAUUCUACAAUAUCUUAAUUGCUAUAGCUUUAUAAUGUUGAUAUACACCAGUGUAAAUAUUUCCUUCCAUAUCCUACUUUAUUCUUAUUCAUAAAUGCCUUGGCUUUUUAUAGCUGUUUCCUCUUCCAGAUGAAUUUUAGGACCAACUUGACCAGUUCCAUGAAAAUCCUGCCUAUUAAAAUGGUAAUUAGAAUUUUUUAAAUGUAUAGAUUGAUUUAGGGAUAACUGAUUUACGACAUGGAGCCUUCCUACCCCUAAACAUAUUCCCAUUUAUUUUAGUUUCAUCUUCAAAGUUUUGACAAUACUUUAUAAUUGCUUUUAUAUGGAUGUGACUGUUCUCAGGUUCUACCCAAACAAAGGCUAACAGACUCUACCUCUCAAUGAAAGGGGCACGGUUAUGGAUGAGUAGUACGUGGGACCAGAAAUAUUGCCAAGGCCAUUUUUUGAAACUAUACUUUGCCCCAGUCUCUCCUUGAACUACAGUAAUUCAAAUCCCUCUCAUUAGCAAAGAAGCCUACCCUUUCCCCCGGAUUCUAAUUCCAUUAUGGCCUAAAGUUCUAGCUCACGGUCCAGGAUCUUGACAUAUAGAUCAUGUUUACAAGCAACUGAGGUUCCCCAAAUAGAGCUUCUAGAGACAGCUUCCAUUGAUCUUCAGGCUCAAGUUGCACUCAAGAAACAAC
rnacentral:lncRNA from 1 species